AAUAUAAGUCCCCAAGGGUGGGGGAUUUUGUUGCAUUAUUUGGACCCCAUACUGGGGCAUUUGCAACGUUUUUUCGCCAAAAUGACAAACGCCCGGGGGGGUGUUGGCCAACACCCAUGGAAUUGAUUGAGACAUAACAUAGUCAGCUAUAUCGUUCUCUGCUAUAUUAAAAGACAAUGUCAAUGUUGAAUAACGUAGUGGGCUACUGGGCUUAUAUUCGGGGGACUUAUAUUUGGGGGGCUUAUAUUCGGGAGGGCUUAUAUUUGGAAUGAGGUAAGCAUUAGUAUAUGUGGUGGGCUUAUAUUCAGGGGGGGGGCUUAUAGUCGGAGGUUUACGGUAUGCAUCCGCAGAAACAACUUCAGCAUAUAUUCCACAGGAAAUGUUAGGCAGUGUUGGAAUGUGAUGGAUAUGCCAUAAAUUGUGGAUUUUGUAUAAACUGAAAGGUUUUCACAAAGCUGUCCUCCAGGUUCAAAAUAUAGUCAAGGAAACACUUGCCUAUACAGUAUGGGAUCGCUGCGGUGCUGGUAAUGCCUCAAGUCUGGAAAAGCUUUAAUGGUGUGCUGCUAGGAUUGUGUCCAGAAUACCUGAGAGUGAUAAAGCAAUGAACAUGUUGAAGUGGCCUUCUCUGCAGAGCAGGCGAGACGACAACAUUUUUAAAUUAGUCAAUAAAUGUAUUCAGGGACGUUGUCCGCAACUUUUUAAAAAUUAUUUUACUCUUAACAGCUCGGUACAUAGUAGAGUGACUAGGCAGAGUCAUAAACUGCACUUGCCUCGAGUACGAACUGAACAGGCAAAGAAAUCCUUUUAUUACAACGGUUGUGUUGUAUAUAAUAAUAAGCAAAAAUAGUUUUAUUCUCUAGUAUAUAUAUAUAUAGUAUAUUGUUUUAAUACCUAAUUGUCAUAUAGCAUGUAAAGAUUGUAUUUUUUUUUUAAAUAGUAGGGC